rnacentral:tRNA from 1 species
UAGAUUGAAGCCAGAUGUUGGGCAUUUAGCUGUUAACUAAAGUCUCGUAGGUUGAAAUCCUAUCAGUCUAG